rnacentral:rRNA from 1 species
GACGAACGCUGGCGGCGUGCUUAACACAUGCAAGUCGAACGGAAAGGCCCUGCUUUUGUGGGGUGCUCGAGUGGCGAACGGGUGAGUAACACGUGAGUAACCUGCCCUUGACUUUGGGAUAACUUCAGGAAACUGGGGCUAAUAUCGGAUAGGAGCUCCUGCUGCAUGGUGGGCGUUGGAAAGUUUCGGCGGUUGGGGAUGGACUCGCGGCUUAUCAGCUUGUUGGUGGGGUAGUGGCUUACCAAGGCUUUGACGGGUAGCCGGCCUGAGAGGGUGACCGGCGACAUGGGGACUGAGAUACGGCCCAGACUCCUACGGGGGGCAGCAGUGGGGAAUAUUGCACAAUGGGCGGAAGCCUGUUGCAGCAACGCCGCGUGCGGGAUGACGGCCUUCGGGGUGUAAACCGCUUUCGCCUGUGACGAAGCGUGAGUGACGGUAAUGGGUAAAGAAGCACCGGCUAACUACGUG